UGGAAUAGAUGAUUUAAUUCGAUGUUAUGCGAUAAAGCUUUUCAGUUAUCUUUUAGAAUACCUAGGUAUAGGUAGAAUUCUAUUUUAGGUAGUGCAUGGCUGUUGGAAUAUCAUGUUUUGUAAUAUCUGGUUUCGGACAGGAAUAGCCGAUACACAUUUUGUAUCAAUUAUAAUUCAUUUGGGUUGCAAGCAACCCUUCUUGUCAAGCAACAGAUAGAAUAACGUCGAGUCAUUAUGCUCUUUUGUUCGGAGAUAUUCAUGUGUUACAAGGAGAGCUAUAUA
rnacentral:rRNA from 1 species